CCUUGCCAGCCCGCUCAGAAACUCAAAGGAAUUGACGGGGCCCGCACAAGCGGAGGAGCAUGUGGUUUAAUUCGAUGAUACGCGAGGAACCUUACCUGGGCUCGAACGUAAGAUGACUGUAGGUGAAAGCUUACAUCUCUUCGGAGCAUUUUACGAGGUGCUGCAUGGUUGUCGUCAGCUCGUGCCGUGAGGUGUCGGGUUAAGUCCCAUAACGAGCGCAACCCCUACCUUUAGUUGCCAUCAGGUAAUGCUGGGGACUCUAAAGGAACUGCCUACGCAAGUAGUGAGAAGGCGGGGAUGACGUCAAAUCAGCACGGCCCUUACGUCCAGGGCUACACACGUGCUACAAUGGCCGAUACAGAGGGCAGCUACCUGGUGACAGGAUGCAAAUCUCCAAAGUCGGUCUCAGUUCGGAUCGGAGUCUGCAACCCGACUCCGUGAAGUUGGAUUCGCUAGUAAUCGCGCAUCAGCCACGGCGCGGUGAAUACGUUCCCGGGCCUU
rnacentral:rRNA from 1 species